rnacentral:rRNA from 1 species
AUGAGAGCACAGAUUGACCCGUGGUUCUCCAAAUACCUCUUGAGAAUUGGCAAUGGAACAGAGGAGACGAUCGGUGAUGAUUAUGUGCAUCUUCCUGAUGAAAUUGUGAUAGGUUACACACCUGGUGACGCACCAGUCAUGAAGCUUAUUGAACACGUGUUCCCGUCUCUUCAUGAGAACGCAUCAUCCGGUGCCUACAUGAGCACACGUGUUAUUCUUUCUACCAAGAAUGAGCACGUGGACGACCUAAAUGCAAAGACGAUUGACAGAUUUCCCGGCCAAGAAAAGGUAUACUAUAGCUUUGAUUCCAUCGAUGAUGAUACACGCAAUAACUACCCAAUUGACUAUCUGAACAACCUCACUCUGAAUGGCUUGCCUCCCCAUAUUUUAAAAGUUAAAGUCAAUUGUCGUGUCAUUCUGCUCCAAAAUCUUGAUCCUAAUAAUGGACUUUGCAAUGGAACGAGAUUGAUGAUUAGAGCUUUCCAAAAUAACGCAAUCGACGCCAAGAUUGUUGGUGGACAACAUGCUAGAAAGAGAGUGUUCAUCCCUAGGAUCUCGAUGGCACCCUCGGAGGAUAUUUCACUUCCUUUCAAGUUGAAGAGGAAGCAAUUCCCUAUUCGUCUGAGUUUUGCAAUAACCAUAAACAAAGCCCAGGGGCAAACCAUCCCAACUGUUGGCAUUUACCUUCCGGAGCCUGUAUUCUCGCACGGCCAGCUUUAUGUUGCACUGCCAAGGGGUGUUUCAAGGCAGACAACUCGGGUUCUGGCAAAGCCAAAUAAAGAAAUAGAUCAAACGGGUAAAAGCACCAAGAACAUUGUGUACAGAGAUGUCUUGGAGGGAUAA